UACAGAGGUCUCAAGCGUUGUUCGGAUUCAUUGGGCGUAAAGGGUGCGUAGGCGGCGCGGUAAGUCAGGUGUGAAAUCUCGGGGCUUAACUCCGAAACUGCAUUUGAUACUGCGGUGCUUGAGGACUGGAGAGGAGACUGGAAUUUACGGUGUAGCAGUGAAAUGCGUAGAGAUCGUAAGGAAGACCAGUGGCGAAGGCGGGUCUCUGGACAGUUCCUGACACUGAGGCACGAAGGCCAGGGGAGCAAACGGG
rnacentral:rRNA from 1 species